AGAGCGAACGCUGGCGGCAGGCCUAAUACAUGCAAGUCGAACGCACCUUCGGGUGAGUGGCGGACGGGUGAGUAACACGUGGGAACGUGCCUUUUGGUUCGGAAUAAUCCGGGGAAACCUGGCCUAAUACCGGAUGUGCCCUUCGGGGGAAAGAUUUAUCGCCAUUAGAGCGGCCCGCGUCUGAUUAGCUUGUUGGUGGGGUAAUGGCCCACCAAGGCUACGAUCAGUAGCUGGUCUGAGAGGAUGAUCAGCCACACUGGGACUGAGACACGGCCCAGACUCCUACGGGAGGCAGCAGUAGGGAAUCUUGCGCAAUGGGCGAAAGCCUGACGCAGCAACGCCGCGUGAGGGAUGAAGGUCUUCGGGUUGUAAACCUCUUUCGAGCAGGGACGAUUGUGACGGUACCUGCAGAAGAAGCUCCGGCCAACUACGUGCCAGCAGCCGC
rnacentral:rRNA from 1 species